AGUCACUUACAACUCUCUUAUUGAUGGCUUGUGCAAAGCUAAGAGAAUGUCAUAUGUGAAAGAUCUUGUUUAUGAGAUGCGUCACAAUGGUCACGCUCCUAAUAUAAUAACCUACAAUAUCAUAUUGGAUGCAUCUUGCAAAAUGAGACAUCUUGACAAGGCAAUUGCAUUAUAUCAACAUAUUGUCAAUGAAGGAAUACAACCUACAAUACAUUCACACAACAUACUAAUUGACGGUUUGUGCAAAGAAGGUAGGUUAAAAUUGGCACAAGACAUCUUUGAAUUUCUUGUGACCGAAGGUCAUCAUCUAGAUAUCUAUACUUACAACAUUAUGAUGAAUGGACUUUGCAAAGAAGGCCUUUUCGAUGAAGCAUUAGCAUUGCUUUCAAAAAUGAAAGAGAAUGGCUGCCUCCCUGAUUUGGUGACAUUUAGAACACUUGUUGGAGCUCUUUUGAUGAAAAAUCAGAGUGACAAAUCAGAGAUUCUUGUUCAUGUAAUGAUAGACACAGGUCUUCUGAAACAGUAAAAUAAGGUCUGACUGUAUGCUGUGAAAAGGGUACAAGAAAAGGCCAAGCUUAUCCAGAUUGUGAUCAAAAGCAAGUAACUACUUGACUGGGGAAACUUGCUGCGAUCAUCCGGUUAGAGACAUCAAUGAAGAAGCAAGAAGAAUGGUUUCAAGAGUUUUGGAUGUUCUGUUUUGAAUGAUUUAUAGGGAAGGUAAUUAUAGCGCUGAUUCUUUAUUUACAUCAUUGAGGAAGCAUUGGUCUUUACACCCAGGUACCCCCUCCUUCAUUGAAGGGGGGGCGUUUGAUGAAAGUUCUGUUGAUGUUUUUUGUACUUUGGUGUUUCACUUUAAUUUAAUAUAAUAGCUUUCAAAGUUUAUUCAAAAUAACAAAAUUUAUAAAUAUUGAAAAUUGUCAACUUUUGCAGUUCA